GUUAGGAUGAGAUUCUCCUCCUGUUUCCAACGGGACUGUGGAGGCACAUAAAGGUCGUUGCAAGGGCUUCUCCCCCCAUCUGAUCUAAAAGAACCAGGUCUUCGACUUUGCUCAUGUCAGGACGAGGUUCUUCUCCUGUUUCUAACAUGGCUGUGGGGGCACAUUAGGGCAUUGUAGGGCCUCUCCCCCCAUCCGGUCU
rnacentral:lncRNA from 1 species